rnacentral:rRNA from 1 species
AUUGAACGCUGGCGGCAGGCCUAACACAUGCAAGUCGAACGGUAACAGCAAGCCGCUUGCUGCUUCGCUGACUAGUGGCGGACGGGUGAGUAAUGUCUGGGAAACUGCCUGAUGGAGGGGGUUAACUACUGGAAACGGUAGCUAAUACCGCAUAACGUCGCAAGACCAAAGAGGGGGACCUUAGGUCCUCUUGCCAUCGGGUGUGCCCAGAUCGGAUUAGCUAGUAGGUGGGGUAACGGCUCACCUAGGCGACGCUCCCUAACUGGUCUGAGAGGAUGACCAGCCACACUGGAACUGAGACACGGUACAGACUCCUACGGGAGGCAGCAGUGGGGAAUAUUGCACAAUGGGCGAAAGCCUGAUGCAGCCAUGCCGCGUGUAUGAAGAAGGCCUUCGGGUUGUAAAGUACUUUAAGCGGGGAGGAAGGGAGUAACGUUAAUACCUGUGCUCAUUGACGUUACCCGCAGAAGAAGCACCGGCUAACUCCGUG